UGUAAGCGUAUACCAAAGUUGUUGCAGUUAAAACGCUCGUAGUCGGAAUUUGGCAGUUCCGGAUGUGUGCACGUCGUGUGCGCACUUCGCGGGGAUUGCUUUUGUGGUCUUGCGUAGGAUGAGGCACUUUUAUUAGUGAACGUCCUCACGCAACCACUUUUUACUGUGAGAAAAUCAGAGUGCUCAAAGCAGGCAUUUGCCGUGAAUGUAUUAGCAUGGAAUAAUAGAAUAGGACUCGGUUCUAUUUUGUUGGUUUGUUGGGACUGAGUAAUGAUUAAGAGGGACAGUUGGGGGCAUUUGUAUUUCGGCGCUAGAGGUGAAAUUCUUAGAUUACCGAAAGACAAACUGCUGCGAAAGCGUCUGCCAAGGAUGUUUUCAUUGA
rnacentral:rRNA from 1 species